AUGAGGAGUUGCAGUUCCAGCCACUUGUCACUGGCUGCAGCCGUGGUCUUGCUUCUGGUACUGACGGCGGCCAUGGAGGCUGAAGGCAUCCGUCUAGACGCCGAGACCCGGGCUUCAGUCGGCAGUAGCAGCAGCAACCCAGUGCACAAUAAACCAAGCGAUAGUUUGGUCAAGGGUUCUACUACAAGCUCGGUAAGCGAGAGCGAGACGACGAGAAGCGCCGGUGCUGUGAAAGAGGCAGCGGGGCAUGGGUUGCCGGAGUUCCAUGAAGACUACUACGUUCGAACUGCUCACAGUUCUAGGCACCACUGA
rnacentral:rRNA from 1 species